CAUGCAUAGAGUGCCUCUGUACCCAACCUCCUGCACUGCCCCAUCAUGUAGAUUUUUAAAGAGCCCCUAGUGGCUCAGAGGAUUAGAAGGCUGGAUGGCAUCACCGACUCGAUGGACAUGAGCUUGGGUGAUGGACAGGGAGGCCUGGCGUGCUGUGAUUCAUGGGGUCACAAAGAGUCGGACACGACUGAACGACCGAACUGAACUGAACUGAACUGAGUGGCUCAGAAGCUCUCUUCCAGAAAUGGGAAAAGCCCUCAUAACGAGCCGUUGACUGGAUGUUUAUGGCUGGGAAAGGCUAUUACCCUGUAAUUUGGCUCCUGAAGACCACAUUCUUCCUUGGAACAGAAGCCACAGGUCAAUUAUCGCGGUUGGAUGGACUGGUUGGAUCUCCUUGCUGUCCAAGGGACUCACAAGAGCCUUCCCCAACACCACAGUUCAGAAGCAACAAUUCUUCGGUGCUCAGCUUUCUUUAGAGUCCAAUACUCACAUCCAUACAUGACUGUUGAAAAA
ensembl:lncRNA